rnacentral:rRNA from 1 species
AGAGUUUGAUCAUGGCUCAGAUUGAACGCUGGCGGCAUGCCUAACACAUGCAAGUCGAACGGUAACAGGGGCUUCGGCCCGCUGACGAGUGGCGGACGGGUGAGUAAUACGUAGGAAUCUGCCCAUUAGUGGGGGACAACCCGGGGAAACCCGGGCUAAUACCGCAUACGCCCUACGGGGGAAAGCGGGGGAUCGUAAGACCUCGCGCUAUUGGAUGAGCCUACGUCGGAUUAGCUAGUUGGUAGGGUAAAGGCCUACCAAGGCGACGAUCCGUAGCUGUUCUGAGAGGAAGAUCAGCCACACUGGGACUGAGACACGGCCCAGACUCCUACGGGAGGCAGCAGUGGGGAAUCUUGGACAAUGGGGGAAACCCUGAUCCAGCAAUGCCGCGUGUGUGAAGAAGGCCUUCGGGUUGUAAAGCACUUUCGAUAGGGAAGAAAAGCUUGGUGCUAAUCAGCCAAGUCUUGACGUUACCUAGAGAAGAAGCACCGGCUAACUCUGUGCCAGCAGCCGCGGUAAUACAGAGGGUGCAAGCGCUAAUCGGAGUUACUGGGCGUAAAGGGCGCGUAGGCGGUUCGAUUAGUCGGGUGUGAAAGCCCUGGGCUUAACCUGGGAAUUGCAUUCGAUACUGUCGAGCUAGAGUAUGGUAGAGGAAAGCGGAAUUCCACAUGUAGCGGUGAAAUGCGUAGAUAUGUGGAGGAACAUCAGUGGCGAAGGCGGCUUUCUGGACCAAUACUGACGCUGAGGCGCGAAAGCGUGGGGAGCAAACAGGAUUAGAUACCCUAGUAGUCC